rnacentral:rRNA from 1 species
UUAAAUUGAAGAGUUUGAUCAUGGCUCAGAUUGAACGCUGGCGGCAGGCCUAACACAUGCAAGUCGAACGGUAACAGGAAGAAGCUUGCUUCUUUGCUGACGAGUGGCGGACGGGUGAGUAAUGUCUGGGAAACUGCCUGAUGGAGGGGGAUAACUACUGGAAACGGUAGCUAAUACCGCAUAACGUCGCAAGACCAAAGAGGGGGACCUUCGGGCCUCUUGCCAUCGGAUGUGCCCAGAUGGGAUUAGCUAGUAGGUGGGGUAACGGCUCACCUAGGCGACGAUCCCUAGCUGGUCUGAGAGGAUGACCAGCCACACUGGAACUGAGACACGGUCCAGACUCCUACGGGAGGCAGCAGUGGGGAAUAUUGCACAAUGGGCGCAAGCCUGAUGCAGCCAUGCCGCGUGUAUGAAGAAGGCCUUCGGGUUGUAAAGUACUUUCAGCGGGGAGGAAG